GACGGAGGAUGCAAGUGUUAUCCGGAAUCACUGGGCGUAAAGCGUCUGUAGGUGGUUUAAAAAGUCUACUGUUGAAAAUUGAAGCUUAACUUCAAAGAUGCCGUAGAAACUUUUAAACUCGGAGGAUGGUAGGGGUAGAGGGAAUUUCCAGUGGAGCGGUGAAAUGCGUAGAUCUUGGAAAGACCACCAAUGGCGAAGGCACUCUACUGGGCCAUUACUGACACUAAGAGACGAAAGCUAGGGGAGCAAAUGGG
rnacentral:rRNA from 1 species